GCUGAAGAACGCAGCGAAAUGCGAUAAGUAGUGUGAAUUGCAGAAUUCAGUGAAUCAUCGAAUCUUUGAACGCACAUUGCGCCCCUUGGUAUUCCAUGGGGCAUGCCUGUUCGAGCGUCAUUUGUACCUUCAAGCUCUGCUUGGUGUUGGGUGUUUGUCUCGCCUCUGCGUGUAGACUCGCCUUAAAACAAUUGGCAGCCGGCGUAUUGAUUUCGGAGCGCAGUACAUCUCGCGCUUUGCACUCAUAACGACGACGUCCAAAAGUACAUUUUUACACUCUUGACCUCGGAUCAGGUAGGGAUACCCGCUGAACUUAAGCAUAUCAAUAAGCGGAGGA
rnacentral:misc_RNA from 1 species